GCUGGCAGUGGCACAGUGGGUAGGCUCCCCGGUCGGGGACCUGGUGGUCAGUGGUUCAAAUCCCCAUGCGGGCG